rnacentral:tRNA from 1 species
GUGUCGUUAGCUCAGUCGGUAGAGCAGUUGACUUUUAAUCAACAACGCGUAAGCGCACUUGGAAAUCCUACACUCCUUACCA